GAUGAAGAACGCAGCGAAAUGCGAUAAGUAAUGUGAAUUGCAGAAUUCAGUGAAUCAUCGAAUCUUUGAACGCACAUUGCGCCCCCUGGUAUUCCGGGGGGCAUGCCUGUUCGAGCGUCAUUACAACCCUCAAGCUCUGCUUGGUAUUGGGCCCCGCCAGUUCUGGCGGGCCCUAAAGUCAGUGGCGGUGCCCUCCGGCUCCGAGCGUAGUAAUUCUUCUCGCUCUGGAGACCCGGUUGUGUGCUUGCCAACAACCCCCAAUUUUUUAAGGUUGACCUCGGAUCAGGUAGGGAUACCCGCUGAACUUAAGCAUAUCAAUAAGCGGAGGA
rnacentral:misc_RNA from 1 species